GAUGAAGAACGUAGCGAAAUGCGAUAAGUAAUGUGAAUUGCAGGAUUCAGUGAACCAUCGAAUCUUUGAACGCACAUUGCGCCCGGCAGUAAUCUGCCGGGCAUGCCUGUCCGAGCGUCAUUUCUGCCCUCGAGCGAGUCCAGCAUCUAGGUGCUGGGCCCGCCCGGCGUUGGGGCACUACGGGAAGCCCUGUGCUGUCCCCCGUAGGCCCCGAAAUGAAGUGGCGGUCCUGCCGCGGCGCCCCCUGCGUAGUAUAACAGCUCGCUUCGGGACCCGGUGGAGGCCUGCCGUCAAACCUUACUCUCUAAGUUUGACCUCGGAUCAGGUAGGGUUACCCGCUGAACUUAAGCAUAUCAAUAAGCGGAGGA
rnacentral:misc_RNA from 1 species